CUUUGUGGUUGAAAUCGUUUGCAAUUUGUUGUGUUUGCGGGUAUCUAGAAUUUUAGUGUUUUCGUCAGUGUUGUGAACUUGGAUAUAAAUUGUCCGCUAAAAUUUGUCAUCUUCUGUUUCAGAACAUCUGCCAAUUUCAUAGUGAAAAUAAGGACACAGACCUGGAACAACAACAACUGGAGAAUGAUACUUAGUUUGCUGAUCUUGGUACCAAUGGUGGCUUGUUUGGCUCCUGUUGUAGCUGCUGCUCCCGCUUUACUUCAUCC